GACGAACGCUGGCGGCGUGCUUAACACAUGCGAGUCGAACGGAAAGGCCCUGCUUUUGUGGGGUGCUCGAGUGGCGAACGGGUGAGUAACACGUGAGUAACCUGCCCUUGACUUUGGGAUAACUUCAGGAAACUGGGGCUAAUACCGGAUAUGAGCUCCUGCUGCAUGGUGGGGGUUGGAAAGUUUCGGCGGUUGGGGAUGGACUCGCGGCUUAUCAGCUUGUUGGUGGGGUAGUGGCUUACCAAGGCUUUGACGGGUAGCCGGCCUGAGAGGGUGACCGGCAACAUUGGGCAUGAGAUACGGCCCAGACUCAGACGGGAGGAAGGAGUGGGGAAUAUUGCACAAUGGGCGGAAGCAGGAAGCAGCAACGCCGCGUGCGGGAUGACGGCCUUCGGGUUGUAAACCGCUUUCGCCUGUGACGAAGCGUGAGUGACGGUAAUGGGUAAAGAAGCACCGGCUAACUACGU
rnacentral:rRNA from 1 species